GUUAUUGUUGAAGGUCGUAUGAUGACGUAUGGUUGUUAACACAUACUUCCUUUGGUUUCUUAUGGAAAUUUGUCCAUUGACAACAAACAUACACAUCAUCUACUUUAUAUAAGAAUUGUAAAAAUUACAACGUAUUUUGGUGAUCUUGCAAAAUGAUCGUAAUCCCGAAAAUCGUAAACAUAUUUUCUUAUCUUAAAAGGGGGCAAGAAGGGUUCCAUUAACAGGCCAAUAAAUAAGAUUACAGUUAAUUUAAAAAAAAAAAUAAAAAUAGGCGUAUUUUUUCUCUUAUAAUAACAGUAAACAGAUUCACAACAAUGUCAAUUUCAAGAAAGCA
rnacentral:lncRNA from 1 species